rnacentral:rRNA from 1 species
GACGAACGCUGGCGGCGUGCUUAACACAUGCAAGUCGAACGGCAAGGCCCUGCUUUUGUGGGGUGCUCGAGUGGCGAACGGGUGAGUAACACGUGAGUAACCUGCCCUUGACUUUGGGAUACCUUCAGGAAACUGGGGCUAAUACCGGAUAGGAGCUCCUGCUGCAUGGUAGGGGUUGGAAAGUUUCGGCGGUUGGGGCUGGGCUCGUGGCUUAUCAGCUUGUUUGUGGGGUAGGGGCAUACCAAGGCUUUGACGGGUAGCCGGCCUGAGAGGGUGACCGGGCACCAUGCUACUACGAGAGGGAGCAGAGUGCUACUGGAGGCAGCAGUGGGGACUCUUGCACAGUGGGCGCGCGCCAGAGGAGGCGACGUCGGGGGCGGGAAGACCGUUUUGGAGUUGUAAACCGCUUUCGCCUGUUACGAAGGGUGAGUGACGGUACUGGCUAAAGAAGCACCGGCUAACUACGUG